CUUCUCAAGGCCCUGUCUCCCAACCCUUGUACCAGUGCUGUGCCUCAGACCCUGGUACAGGCCUGGGGGACAGGGACUUGGGGAC
ensembl:miRNA Mir150 microRNA 150